GCCUCGCCGCGGGCCUCAGCCGGCCCUCCGGUCGUCCUCUCCCGCGGGGCUCCGGCUCCUCACGGCGGGAACCACGUCGCUGGUGGGCGGAGCCAGCCGGGUCACCGAGGUCGGGGGGCGGGCUGACUUGGAGGGUAGCGGGAACGGAAAGGAAAGCGAAACAGAGACUGAGCCAGGGAACCCGCUUUUCCUCCUCCUCUUCCUCUGGCGUUAUCAUCUACCUCGCCAGCAUCCCGGACAACUACCUACACCACCUACUCUCAAGCCUCGCGAGACUGCUAGUUGGUUCACAGAGUUCUGUCACUUCAACACUUGUGCUCCCGUACUUGAGUCACAUUUUUCCGGAGGAGCUCCAGCCACAAGGCCGCUGGCACGUCAAGCUGGGACACACUGAGCAGAUUUAAGAGCCGGCGUUUACCUUUGAGCUGCAGUGUAUCACUAGCCCUCAGUGAAUGCUUUUCCUCUGCUUCACAAACUUUUAAUCUUCCUACUUAAAAGAAGGCGUGGAGGAUGUAGCCCGGUGGUAGAGCAUUUGCCUAGCAUGCAAGAGGCCCUGAACGUGUGCUCCAGCUCUGCAAAAAAUAAAAUUAAGUACAUCAUUGAUUCUUUUGAUGAACUUUGAUUCUCAUACCUAGCUUCCAUGUGAGACAGAGUCACAGUCACACAGCAGGCCU
rnacentral:lncRNA from 1 species